rnacentral:lncRNA from 1 species
ACUACUAGUGCAACACUCAUUUCUUCAAACAACUACAGCGCCUCCUUCUUCUUCUUUUUCUUAUUUUCUCUCUAACCCAAAGAAACACUACACCUUCUCUCUACCUCUCCAACAAAUAUAAUACACAUAUGCAAAAACAAAGAACAGAUCUAAACUUCUCUCAUCAUCCUCUUCAAUUCUAUGUAAUUGAGACAACAAAGUGGUGUAUUUGAAAAAAUGGGUCAUCCUCUUCAAUUCGUCCAUCCCUUCUGUUUUUUUUUUUUUUUCUUCUUUCACUUUUCAGUUUAUUGAACCGGUCCGGUUCAAAAAACGGUCGAGUCACCGGUUUUUACCGGUUUUCGCCGAUCCAUUAAGCUGCUCGAACCGGACAUACCACCGGUUCCCGGUCUGACCGGUCCGACCGGCCGGUCCGGUCCGGUUUUUAAAACUAUGGGUUUAGUAUGGGAAUGGAUAGUUUUUUCCUAUGAUGGAAAAGUUGUACUUUUAAUUAUUGAUUUAAUAAUUUUUUAUUUGAUUGGCCAAGAUUAAUUACAUGGUAAUUGUUGAUACUUUUUGUUGAGUAUUGUGUGACCUACAUAUGUGGACCCCACGAAAAUCAUUCAAUAACCAUAAAUCGUUCUUAAUUGUUUAAAAUAAAAAUUCUUCUUAAUUAAUUUACCCUUGGUCAUAUAUUAGAAGAAAAUAACUUCAUCUCCUUUACGACAAAUCACAAACUCAGAAGAGUUUGUUCCCAUUCAACCUAAAUUGUUCCAAUCCCUUCUCUUCAUUCUUCGAUAUGAAAUUCACAAAACUAUGCGUGAAAUCCAUUUAAUUCAUUCUUCUCUUCCUUCUUCAACAUGACUCAGAGAUCUGUGAAACCUAUUUCUCAAUUGUGUGAUUUACAACACUAACAUCUCUUUUUAAUGAAAUUACAUUACCUAUGCUGCGAAAUUACAAAAUUCAUUUGCAAAAUAUGGACUUAAUUGAGAAAUUUCACCAAAAUAAAUAAUUUAAAAGAUCAAAUCAGUGUAAGAUCAGAUCGGUGGUGAAUCCAUGGAUGACAGAGAGGACGAAGAAUGGAAAAUUAUGUUUGUUGUUUGAAUAUAUGUCUUUCAACAAUGAAGAUGGCUUUUCAAUGGCUUUGUUCAGUUUCUUAUUUACCUGUUGGAGAGAAGGAGGAAAGGAACGAGGAACAAGCUCUCUUCUGAAAUAAAUAAGUGUUGUAGUUAGUAAACAGGGUGGGGUACUAGAAAAAGCAAACAACAUAAAAAACUGUUUUUUUUUUCUAGCAGGUUCAUCCACUGCCACAAAAAAGACACUUUCCCAUGGUGGAAAAAAAAUGUCGGUUCGCAGGUUAAACGCCACCCUACAUUCUACUCCUUGUUGUUGAUAUGUUUUCCUUUACGGGGGAUGUAUACAUUCUACUAAGCAGCAAUAAUAUCCAAUUUACAUCUCUCUGGAUUGAUAAAAAUGACCUGAAAUCCUUAAAAAAAAAAUUAGCUGAAAUUAAAUAAAUUUUGAAGUGAUGCAAGAGUGCAUUCCUCUAUUGAGGAUGCAAGUGAUUCGGAUAAAAACUAUAAAUCCAAAAAAUUAAGUGAAAUCAAAGAUUAUCUAAUUUAUUUUUGUGGAGCCGAUUGAAACCAAACCGAAAAACAAUUAAACUGGAUUGAUUCGAUUUUCAAUUUUGAAAUCAAAUAAAGCAAUGAACCAAACUUAAAGGUUUAUUAAACUUAUUAAACCUACUUUAACUUAGUUAAGGUACAACAUUUUACUAACAUCAUCAUUCAAAAGAAAGAAAUACAUAGAAAAGAAAGAAAAAUUAAAAUUUAUCUUCUCUUACUUGAAUGAGCAAAAAAAGAAGUUCAUUCUUCAAUGGAAAAUUUAAAUGUUUAAGUAGAUGAUAAUUGUCACAUAUUACUUAAGUUGCUAAAAACAAUUUACUAUCUUUAUGUGUGAUCAGUUAAACAUUUAUAUUUUUUUAUACUGAAACUUCUUAUAUUAUACUUUUAAUAUUUAAAU